AGUCGAGCGGAGAUGAGGUGCUUGCACCUUAUCUUAGCGGCGGACGGGUGAGUAAUGCUUAGGAGUCUGCCUAUUAGUGGGGGACAACAUUCCGAAAGGAAUGCUAAUACCGCAUACGUCCUACGGGAGAAAGCAGGGGAUCUUCGGACCUUGCGCUAAUAGAUGAGCCUAAGUCGGAUUAGCUAGUUGGUGGGGUAAAGGCCUACCAAGGCGACGAUCUGUAGCGGGUCUGAGAGGAUGAUCCGCCACACUGGGACUGAGACACGGCCCAGACUCCUACGGGAGGCAGCAGUGGGGAAUAUUGGACAAUGGGGGGAACCCUGAUCCAGCCAUGCCGCGUGUGUGAAGAAGGCCUUAUGGUUGUAAAGCACUUUAAGCGAGGAGGAGGCUACUGAGACUAAUACUCUUGGAUAGUGGACGUUACUCGCAGAAUAAGCACCGGCUAACUCUGUGCCAGCAGCCGCGGUAAUACAGAGGGUGCGAGCGUUAAUCGGAUUUACUGGGCGUAAAGCGUGCGUAGGCGGCUUUUUAAGUCGGAUGUGAAAUCCCCGAGCUUAACUUGGGAAUUGCAUUCGAUACUGGGAAGCUAGAGUAUGGGAGAGGAUGGUAGAAUUCCAGGUGUAGCGGUGAAAUGCGUAGAGAUCUGGAGGAAUACCGAUGGCGAAGGCAGCCAUCUGGCCUAAUACUGACGCUGAGGUACGAAAGCAUGGGGAGCAAACAGGAUUAGAUACCCUGGUAGUCCAUGCCGUAAACGAUGUCUACUAGCCGUUGGGGCCUUUGAGGCUUUAGUGGCGCAGCUAACGCGAUAAGUAGACCGCCUGGGGGAGUACGGUCGCAAGACUAAAAACUCAAAUGAAUUG
rnacentral:rRNA from 1 species